rnacentral:rRNA from 1 species
CCUCCAUCCGCUCCAGCGCCCGCAGUCUCCAUGCCGCCGCAGCGCCGCCGAGCGCGUGGACGCGUCCACCGGCUGGCGCCGUACAGGAUAGGCUGGCUCUCGCGGCGGCGCCAGGGAGACGCUGGAGGCGACAAUCUGAGCGACCACGACAACGGGACGCUUCUCCCGGACGACGCCCUCUCGGCCGUCUUCGCGCGGUGCUCGGGCUAUGCCGACGUCGUCCGGUGUGCGAGCACGUGCCGGCGCUGGGGCCGCGUGGUCGCCCAGGAGGCCGCCGUGCUCUCCCGGUGCCGCGCCCUGGCACUGCCGCCGCUCCCCCGCCUCUUCCUCGGUUUCUUCCAGCGCGAGGACGGCGCCGCCGGUCGCGUCACCGCACGCAAGUGCGCGGCCGUCUCGAGGCCGGGGCCUCGCUUCGUCCCGACCCGCUCCGGCGCUCGGCUCCUCGGACUCCCGAGCGCCUCGCUCGGUGUGCUGCCCGAUGCCUUCCACGACGUUGUGGGCCGCCGGUUUUUCGAGCACUCCCGUCCGGUGGCGUCCCGCAACGGCCGCCUCGUCCUGGAGCUUCGGCACGAGGGCCGCGCCGCCGGCCUCGAGCUAUGCGUCUGCAACCCGAUGACGGGCCACAUGGCCCUGCUCCCGCCCCUGUCCGGCGACGACAUGCCAGGGACGUACGCGUGUGCACUGUUUGCCGGCGAGCACGACGGCGGCCAAGGCCCGUCGCCGCUGCCGGCCACCUUCUUCCGCCUGCUCAUCGUCUACAACCGCCGCGGGUUCACCGCGUUGCGCGCCUACUCCUCGGACCUUGGCCGCUGGAGCGAGGAGGCCAGGAGGUCAGGCCGCAAGAUCAAGAGCGCGAAGGUGCGCGAGCUCGGCCAGGCCAUGGUGCUCCGCGGCGUGGCCUACUGGCCGCUGCUGCGCACGGCGCUGGCAGUGCGGAUCGACACGCCGGAGCCGAGGGAGGCGCCCAUGCCGCAGACCGGCCUCCCGACACACAUGGAGCAGAGCACCCGAUUGCUAGGCGUGACCGCCGACGAGAGGCUUUGCUGCAUCACGUCCAGAGUUUGCGUCGACAGACUCUGUAUGACGGUCGACUUGUUCGAUCCCAACACGGGCGACCGCGGCGAGUGGGAGUUCCGGCCCGGCUUCUUCAUGCCGCCCCAGGCAGAGCUCAAGCUGAGAUCAUACCUUGCCGUCAACCUGCGGUGGUUCUGCGAGAGGAGCGGCGUCGUUCUUUUCACGCUCGGAGAAGGCAGCGGUCGCCAUGGGACCUUCGCGUUCAACGUCAGGACGCGUGAGGUCGACGAGAUUGUC